GUACAGAAUGCAUGUCACUUCCCAAGGGGUUCAUUCAUAAACAACUUUGCUGCCAAGUUCCAUACUGUGACUUCAUCAAUCCUACACCAUUCUCGACAGGUUACCCUACACCACCACCUCACGUGAUGUCACCAUACCACCCAUGCAAAUCUACACAGUAAACAAGAUCAUACCCUGUAAUGGUUUAUCAUAUUAGCAGCAGCCAAAAGGUUGGCCUGGAAUUUGCCUUUGUUUGCUUUUAAAAAGAAGUUGGCAUCUAGGCUAUUAAAAAGGUGUGCUGUAUGCGACCUCGUGACUCUUUGCAACAGUUGUUUUUCUGCUUGUAUCCACACACAUCAACGGCUGGUGGCUAACAAAGAAGUAAUGGCCUUAUCCUGAUACUUACAAUACUUACCUCCUUGUAUGAGCUCAAUGUAUUUGGAUUUGUUCAUCCAAAAGAAUGUGGUUCAAAUUAUUAAAUAUUAGGUCAGUAGCAAUUCUGCUUCAAACAGUUUAUUCCAAUGAUAGUGCUAAUCUCUCUGAACAUUUUCUUUGUUAUAAAGAAUAACAAAAACACUGUUCUGAAAUAUUCCAAACACGGGCUAAAUACAUCAAGGUGUAGACAAAACAGUCAUGCAUUGAAUCAUGACAGCUAAAGAAAGAUGUUCCGUUUUCGGUCCUCAUUGGAUACUCUUUUUUGAGCCGGGUACAUAAUUACAACUGUGAUAUAUUCCGCUGGCACCAAUUUAAAAAGGCAACACUGUGCAUUGUC
rnacentral:lncRNA from 1 species